UACGGAGGAUGCAAGCGUUGUCCGGAAUGACUGGGCGUAAAGCGUCCGUAGGCGGUAAUGUAAGUCUGCUGUCAAAGCGUCUGGCUCAACCGGAUAAAGGCAGUGGAAGCUACAUAGCUAGAGUAAGGUAGGGGUAGAGGGAAUUCCUGGUGUAGCGGUGAAAUGCGUAGAGAUCGUAAGGAAGACCAGUGGCGAAGGCGGGUCUCUGGAAAGUUCCUGACACUGAGGCACGAAGGCCAGGGGAGCAAACGGG
rnacentral:rRNA from 1 species